rnacentral:lncRNA from 1 species
AGUCUGAUGUGAAACUCCAAUGGAAAACUCUUUUUUCAUUAUUUCACUCUGCCAUGGCCAUGGGCUUAAGGACUCAAUCUUUCGAUUAUCAUAGGACUACUCCUCUCAUCUACCGAGGUUGAUAGAUCCCAUCUUGGUGCGACCUAGUUCUUACAAUGAAUAUGCUACAGCUAACAUACACCUCAGGGUUCCGAAUGGCUAGG